GUGGCUUGAUGUGAUCUUAAAAAGGGAGUCUCCACACCCAAAGGAAAGACACCUAAAAGAUGCCAUGCCAAGAAAACUAGCACCCAAAACCCUUUUGUCGCAUACCCUUCUUUCUUACUGCUUGUUCGAGACCUUUCUCACUCAUAUUUUGUUGCACAAAAUAGGAUGUUAACCACCGAUGUUUUUUGGUUUCUCCCCUCUUAUAGGUGAUGCCCACAUCUGAU
rnacentral:lncRNA from 1 species